rnacentral:lncRNA from 1 species
AGGAGACCCUUACUGAUCAUUAUAGGCUCCUCGAGAUCAUCAGCCAGGACAGCUUCACCAGGGUGAAUGAAGUUCACCAAGUACCUUCUCACUGGGCAGCAGUGAGACUCUAGACUCCCUCUAGAGUCUAUUCCAUGGGGUCACCCCAAGGUCAUCAAACUCUUUCAACACCACAGACACUUUGUUCUUAGCCAUGGAGUACGGCCAGCAGAGCAGAGCUGGUCGACUACAUCCUAGAGUUGGGCUACAUGAAGGCGGAAGAGGCCUGAAGCAAAUUCCAGCAGAUAGUAUCAGCCCUCUAGUACCACCAACAGAAGGGGGAUAUCCAUAGGGACCUGAAGCCCAAGAAUUUCCUUGUGGUCCAUCACAACAUAAAAAUAACAGACUUUGGAUUUGAUACCAGGUUCACUGUAGGCCAGAAGCUGGGCACCUUCGGUGGGAGUCCCUCUUAUGCGGUCCUGAACUCUUCCAUGGCCAAACAUAUGAUGGGCCCCAGUGGACAUGUGGAGCUGGAAAGUCAUUCUUUACACCACAGUAACCAGGUCCUGCCAUUUAUUGGGCAGAUUUUGUGGCGCUGAGGAAGCUGAUACUGUGUGAACAAUUGUACAAGAUCCCACUCUUUGCUUUUCAUUUCCAGAGAGCUUCAUAAACCUAUUUCUGACUGCAGGGAGAGGCCUAUACUAGUCCACGUCAUGGAACACCUAUGGAUCAACACUGGUCAGGAGGAGACACGAAGGCCAUACCGGGAGCUGCUCUCUGAUUACCAGGACUCCUGAAACACAGAGCUCAUGGUGUCCGUGGGAUAUGAGGCAGACCACAUCCAGUCCUUGUUAGAACAAAAAUUUGAUGAUACCAUGGCCUGGUACUGAAUCCUGGGCUACAGGAAACCUGAUGCAGGGCUCCAUCAUCACAGCAAAGUCUUUGCCUUCAGUGGAUCCCACCCAACAGCUACUAGCCUUCCCCAUCACCUGAAAGAAACUCUUAUGCUUUAACAUACAAAACUUGUUAAAAACAUUGGG